GCAGCCGCGGUAAUACGGAAGGUCCAGGCGUUAUCCGGAUUUAUUGGGUUUAAAGGGAGCGUAGGCCGCCCCUUAAGCGUGUUGUGAAAUGCCGCGGCUCAACCGUGGCACUGCAGCGCGAACUGGGGGGCUUGAGUGCACGCAACGCAGGCGGAAUUCGUGGUGUAGCGGUGAAAUGCUUAGAUAUCACGAAGAACUCCGAUUGCGAAGGCAGCUUGCGGGAGUGCGACUGACGCUGAAGCUCGAAGGUGCGGGUAUCGAACAGGAUUAGAUACCCC
rnacentral:rRNA from 1 species